ACGCUGGCGGCACGCCUAACACAUGCAAGUCGAGCGAAGUAGCAAUACUUAGUGGCAGACGGGUGAGUAACAUGUAGGUAUCUGCCCUUUGGCCUGGAAUAACACGAGGAAACUUGUGCUAAUACCGGAUAAGUCUUUACGGAGAAAGCUUUAUGCACCAUUGGAUGAGCCUGCACUUGAUUAGUUCGUUGGUAGGGUAAUGGCCUACCAAGACUAUGAUCAAUAGCUGAUUUGAGAGGAUGAUCAGCCACAUUGGGACUGAGACACGGCCCAAACUCCUACGGGAGGCAGCAGUGGGGAAUCUUGCACAAUGGAGGAAACUCUGAUGCAGCGAUGCCGCGUGAGUGAAGAAGGCCUUUGGGUUGUAAAGCUCUUUCGUCGGGGAAGAAAAUGACUGUACCCGAAUAAGAAGGUCCGGCUAACUUCGUGCCAGCAGCCGCGGUAAUACGAAGGGACCUAGCGUAGUUCGGAAUUACUGGGCUUAAAGAGUUCGUAGGUGGUUGAAAAAGUUGGUGGUGAAAUCCCAGAGCUUAACUCUGGAACUGCCAUCAAAACUUUUCAGCUAGAGUAUGAUAGAGGAAAGCAGAAUUUCUAGUGUAGAGGUGAAAUUCGUAGAUAUUAGAAAGAAUACCAAUUGCGAAGGCAGCUUUCUGGAUCAUUACUGACACUGAGGAACGAAAGCAUGGGUAGCGAAGAGGAUUAGAUACCCUCGUAGUCCAUGCCGUAAACGAUGUGUGUUAGACGUUGGAAAUUUAUUUUCAGUGUCGCAGCGAAAGCGAUAAACACACCGCCUGGGGAGUACGACCGCAAGGUUAAAACUCAAAUGAAUUGACGGGGACCCGCACAAGUAGUGGAGCAUGUGGUUUAAUUCGAAGAUACGCGCAGAACCUUACCAACACUUGACAUGUUCGUCGCGACUUUAAGAGAUUAGAGUUUUCGGUUCGGCCGGACGAAACACAGGUGCUGCAUGGCUGUCGUCAGCUCGUGUCGUGAGAUGUUGGGUUAAGUCCCGCAACGAGCGCAACCCUCACUUUUAGUUGCCAUCAUUUAGUUGGGCACUCUGAAAGAACUGCCAGUGAUAAGCUGGAGGAAGGUGGGGAUGACGUCAAGUCCUCAUGGCCCUUACGUGUUGGGCUACACACGUGCUACAAUGGUAUCUACAACAGGAAGCAAGACUGCGAGGUCAAGCAAAUCCCUAAAAGAUACCUCAGUUCGGAUUGCACUCUGCAACUCGAGUGCAUGAAGCUGGAAUUACUAGUAAUCGUAGAUCAGCGUGCUGCGGUGAAUGCGUUCCCGGGUGUUGUACACACCGCCCGUCACACCAUGGGAGUUGGUUCUACCUUAAGGCAAGGUUUUAAACCCUUGACCACGGUAUAGUCAGCGACUGGGGUGAAGUCGUAACAAGGUAGCCGUAGGGGAACCUGCGGCUGGAUUACCUCCUUUCU
rnacentral:rRNA from 1 species